rnacentral:rRNA from 1 species
GACGAACGCUGGCGGCGUGCUUAACACAUGCAAGUCGAACGGAAAGGCCUCUUUCGGGGGGUACUCGAGUGGCGAACGGGUGAGUAACACGCGAGUAACCUGCCCUUGACUUUGGGAUAACUUCAGGAAACUGGGGCUAAUACCGGAUAGGAGCUCCUGCUGCAUGGUGGGGGUUGGAAAGUUUCGGCGGUUGGGGAUGGACUCGCGGCUUAUCAGCUUGUUGGUGGGGUAGUGGCUUACCAAGGCUUUGACGGGUAGCCGGCCUGAGAGGGUGACCGGCCACAUUGGGACUGAGAUACGGCCCAGACUCCUACGGGAGGCAGCAGUGGGGAAUAUUGCACAAUGGGUGGAAGCCUGAUGCAGCAACGCCGUGUGCGGGAUGACGGCCUUCGGGUUGUAAACCGCUUUCGCUCAUGACGAAGCUUUGUGUGACGGUAGUGGGUAAAGAAGCACCGGCUAACUACGUG